UCCAUGAACAUCUAUCAUUGAUGAACGAAGUUGUUGUCAAAUAAUAGCGUUGUCACUGAUUGCUAGUUAGCUAGCCCUAGCAUUCUGUAAACAUGUCUAAAAUACAGUUGUUGAGAGCGUUUCUCAACCAUCGGCUAACUGUGGCUGCUGAUGAGAUAUUCGGGGCAGUUGAAAAAACGAUAGCUGAGUACCAGGAAGAGGUUUCCCGUUCGAAAAAGGAGAACGACCGUCUACAGAAUAUUCUUGACAUUGUUAUUAAACCUGAGAUAAAGUUACAAAGAGCAGACUUCUCUCCCUCCAGACCUCCAGCAGCUCACUGUAUUGGAAGAGGAGGUUCACCCUGAGCAGCAGCCCUGUGUGCAGGAUUGGAGACCUAGUCUUGGACAGGAAGACAGCGAGCCCAUAUGGAUCAAAAAGGAGCAGGAGGAACUCAAAAAGCAACUUCAGUGGCUGGAGUCUGACACCAGAGAGUUCAUAUUUGAUCCUUUCUGUGUAAGUGAUUAUGAUCAGGACCCAACUCAGUCCUUGCAAAUCCAAAGUGAGGAAAAUAGGGAGAGAGAUUCUCAACCAAACAUUGUAACUGGACAGAUCAAAACAGAACCUGACGGAGAGGACUACAGAAUAUCAGAACCAACCUGUUCUUCAGCUCAGAGUACAAAUAGUGAACAUGUCAAUGGAAUGGAAAGCAAAGGAGCGCAGUCUCUUUUAAAGUCACACAAACCAAAGACCACAAAAAAAGAAAAAAGAAAACAAACUUAUAGCAGUGCAAAUGGUAUGAAAUGUACUCCCUGUUCUUGUAAGGUUUGUGGCAGGUCUUUUCGGUACAAGCGUCCCUUUUUUAAUCAUGUGCAAAGUCAUGCACAUAUAGAGGAUAAAGAACGUGUCUGUGGUGUGUGUGGAAAGCACUUAGAUUCUAAAGAGAAUAUGAAAGAUCACCUCCAAACUCACAUCGUAGCUGAGCCUGAGUUUUGUCAUGUCUGUGGUAAAACGUUCACCACGAAGCUUAGGCUGAAAAAGCACAUGAGGGUUCACACAGGAGAGAAACCAUAUCGCUGCGAUGAUUGUGGCAGGUGUUUCAGUGAUGCCGCCAAUUUGAUCGGACACAAAAGGACUCACACGGGCGAGAAACCAUAUUGCUGCCAGGAAUGUGGCCAAGGAUUCACUCAAAGUGGACAUCUGGUUUUGCACAGGAGGAGACAUACUGGGGAGAAGCCAUAUCUCUGUUCUGUUUGUGGCAAAAGUUUCAGCACCAGAUCAAAUUAUACAGGACACAUGAGAGUUCACACAGGGGAGAAACCGUACAGCUGCCAUGAUUGUAGCAAAUGUUUCAGCAAUACUGCUAAUCUGAGUGCGCACAGGAGGAUUCAUACAGGGGAGAAACCAUAUUGUUGUGAUUAUUGUGGCAAAGGAUUUGCUCAGAAUGGAAAUCUUAAAAUGCACAUGAAGACACAUAGGAAAUAAAUCUUGUAGGCUAAUUGCUGUAUUUGUGAGAAAUAUCUCAGCACUGACAUCCACCCAACUAGAGAAUCCACACAAGAGAGAAAUACAUCUCUUUCGUGACUGUGGCAAAGCCUUUGCACAAUGGAAAUUUGGCAAGGCAUAAUGAGAAUGUACAAAAUGUAUAACAUGUCAGAACUCAGGAUGAACAACAACAUUUCAACAGUUUGAUAACACUGGAGAGAACUGUGAUCUGGCGCAUCUGACAGUGAUUGAGGUUUCACACAAAGUGGUGAGAGACUAUACAAGUGUCCUAUAGAAAAUGCUUUAUCACAAGUGUAUUAACUAGGCGUCAAAGGAGCCUAGUUGAGGAAAAAAUUGUAGGCCUACAUGCAAUCCCUGCUUCAAGUUCUUCAAAUGGACUCACUAGGAAGGGACAUUCACAACAGGGAGAAAACAUGGCAGGGCCUUCAGGGAAAGGGCAUCAGACAGAGGAUUGAGAAGCAUAUUCUCACUUCCACCAGUAAGAAGAGAUGGGAUCUAGUACAUACCCACAAGAACCCAGCUCUUGGAUCAACAAGAUAUGACUGUACUAGCUUGAACUUACAGAACAUUGCUAGAAGUCCACAUGAACAUUGCGCAACAGAUAGCUGAGCAGCAGGAGUCCCUGCUUAUUAGUAUGACACAGGACACACGUUUGAGCUGCUGUCCUGUGUCUUGAAAACAAAACUUUGCAUUUUUUUGUCUUGAAUGUAAAAUGCCUUCUCCAGUAAUACAUCAUAUCUGUUUUUAACACUGCUGUGAUGUGGUUGUCUUACUUUUCAAAGUGUGUGUUUCUUCAUGGCUUUCAUACCAAAACUAUAGUCAUACCUCUGAGUUUGAUGUCAAUUUGCCUGCAAAGAAAAUAAAUACUUGUCUAUUUCAUUGUAUAUGUAUUGACAGGUAUAAAUAAUUAGUAUGCUAUGUUCCUGGUGAACUAUUAAAUGUGCAUGGGCUACCAUCUGAAAUAUGUGCUUCUUAUUUCAACCAGAAACUUAAAUAUGAUAAAAUAUGAAAAUGUAUAAUCUUUUUUAGAUCAGAACAUGGCACAAAAUAAAUAACAGAUAUCCUGUAAUGGGAAAUUAUUUGACUAAUUCUUUCCCUGAAUUUGAUUUACUGUUGAUAUGUAAUAAACAUAAUUGUGUGGGAAGACACAGACAGAUGCAUUCCUUUGGGUAACGUAUCUAU